rnacentral:rRNA from 1 species
UGGGGAAUUUUGGACAAUGGGCGAAAGCCUGAUCCAGCAAUGCCGCGUGUGUGAAGAAGGCCUUCGGGUUGUAAAGCACUUUUGUCCGGAAAGAAAUGGCUCUGGUUAAUACCUUGGGUCGAUGACGGUACCGGAAGAAUAAGGACCGGCUAACUACGUGCCAGCAGCCGCGGUAAUACGUAGGGUCCAAGCGUUAAUCGGAAUUACUGGGCGUAAAGCGUGCGCAGGCGGUUGUGCAAGACCGAUGUGAAAUCCCCGAGCUUAACUUGGGAAUUGCAUUGGUGACUGCACGGCUAGAGUGUGUCAGAGGGGGGUAGAAUUCCACGUGUAGCAGUGAAAUGCGUAGAGAUGUGGAGGAAUACCGAUGGCGAAGGCAGCCCCCUGGGAUAACACUGACGCUCAUGCACGAAAGCGUGGGGAGCAAACAGG